GCGGAUGUGGUGGAAUUGGUAGACACGCUGUCUUGAGGGGGCAGUGGCGCGAGCCGUGCCGGUUCGACUCCGGCCAUCCGCACCA
rnacentral:tRNA from 2 species